rnacentral:rRNA from 1 species
UACGAGGGGGGCGAGCGUUGUUCGGAAUUAUUGGGCGUAAAGGGUGCGUAGGCGGCCUGACAAGUCUGAUGUGAAAUCCCUGGGCUCAACCCAGGGCCUGCAUCGGAAACUGUCGGGCUUGAGUAUGGGAGAGGUGAGUGGAAUUUCCGGUGUAGCGGUGAAAUGCGUAGAUAUCGGAAGGAACACCAGAGGCGAAGGCGGCGACCUGGACAGUAACUGACACUCAACUACGAAAGCGUGGGGAGCAAACAGG